AGAGUUUGAUUCUGGCUCAGGACGAACGCUGGCGGCGUGCUUAACACAUGCAAGUCGAACGGAAAGGCCCGCCACUUUGGUGGUGGGUACUCGAGUGGCGAACGGGUGAGUAACACGUGGGUGAUCUGCCCCGCACUGUGGGAUAAGCCUGGGAAACUGGGUCUAAUACCACAUACGACCAUGGCGUAGGGGUCAUGGUGGAAAGCUUUAUUGCGGUGUGGGAUGAGCCCGCGGCCUAUCAGCUUGUUGGUGGGGUAAUGGCCUACCAAGGCGGCGACGGGUAGCCGGCCUGAGAGGGUGGACGGCCACAUUGGGACUGAGACACGGCCCAGACUCCUACGGGAGGCAGCAGUGGGGAAUAUUGCACAAUGGGCGCAAGCCUGAUGCAGCGACGCCGCGUGGGGGAUGACGGCCUUCGGGUUGUAAACUCCUUUCAGCCAUGACGAAGCGUUAUGUGACGGUAGUGGUAGAAGAAGCACCGGCUAACUACGUGCCAGCAGCCGCGGU
rnacentral:rRNA from 1 species